GACUAAAUAAUGGCACGAGCUCGUCCCUGUUUCCAUGUUUACCGCCUGUCACUCUGCUUCCUGUUUCUCUGCGUGGAAGUACAAACAUGCGCAUUGAUAGUUUGAGGAAGCACUGCAGUUUCAUACAAAGCAUGAAACAGAUGAUCUGAUCCUCAUCAACAUUGAUAAAGGAAGUGUCUCCACUUCUUAUUCUGAGACUCUUGACCUACCAGAGAUUCCUCCGGCUGCUGCAGACUGCUUCACACAGAGGUGGGUGUCAGUCCUUUCAGAUUCAUUUUGACCUGUGUCAGUGCAGCCAUGCAAGCUGCUCAGAGGAGAGCAUGGCAACACAACCUCAACCACGACAUCCAGAGGAUCACAC